GGGGACGUAGCUCAGCUGGGAGAGCGCCUGAUUUGCAUUCAGGAGGUCGGGAGUUCGAUCCUCCUCGUCUCCACCA
rnacentral:tRNA from 1 species